rnacentral:rRNA from 1 species
CUCCCGGCNCGGGNNGNUAGUGACGAAAAAUAACGAUACGGGACUCAUCCGAGGCCCCGUAAUCGGAAUGAGUACACUUUAAACCCUUUAACGAGUAUCCAUUGGAGGGCAAGUCUGGUGCCAGCAGCCGCGGUAAUUCCAGCUCCAAUAGCGUAUAUUAAAGUUGUUGCGGUUAAAAAGCUCGUAGUUGGACUUGUGUCCCACGCUGUCGGUUCACCGUUCGUCGGUGUUAACUGGCAUGCCCGUGUGGACGUCCUGCCGGUGGAUGCGGUCGGCCGUGGGCCUCUGGUCUGCGCGUCGGCGGUCCGAUGCAAUCCUACCGCGGUGCUCUUCACCGAGUGUCGAGGUGGGCCGGCACGUUUACUUUGAACAAAUUAGAGUGCUCAAAGCAGGCAGUGGUUCGCCUGAAUAUUGUGUGCAUGGAAUAAUGGAAUAGGACCUCGGUUCUAUUUUGUUGGUUUUCGGAACUUGAGGUAAUGAUUAAUAGGGACAAAUGGGGGCAUUCGUAUUGCGACGUUAGAGGUGAAAUUCUUGGAUCGUCGCAAGACGAACCUAAGCGAAAGCAUUUGCCAUAAGUGUUUUCAUUAAUCAAGAACGAAAGUUAGAGGUUCGAAGGCGAUCAGAUACCGCCCUAGUUCUAACCAUAAACGAUGCCAGCUAGCGAUCCGCCGAAGUUCCUCCGAUGACUCGGCGGGCAGCUUCCGGGAAACCAAAGCUUUUGGGUUCCGGGGGAAGUAUGGUUGCAAAGCUGAAACUUAAAGGAAUUGACGGAAGGGCACCACCAGGAGUGGAGCCUGCGGCUUAAUUUGACUCAACACGGGAAACCUCACCAGGCCCGGACACCGGAAGGAUUGACAGAUUGAGAGCUCUUUCUUGAUUCGGUGGAUGGUGGUGCAUGGCCGUUCUUAGUUGGUGGAGCGAUUUGUCUGGUUAU